rnacentral:sRNA from 1 species
UUAUAGCCCCGAUAGAAACGGCAUCCUUUUGUGGAGCGAAGCGGAACAAAAGAUAUAGUGGAUAGCGGGAAAAAGC